CUGAGUUCUAAAGGCAAUGAUCAGAUAUUCACAGUAUCCAUCCCAUUAAGAUUACUUCAAAUGGGAGCAUUGAUUGGUCCUAUGUUCAUAAGUGCUUCUCUUUGGGGUAGUAGUACUGAGGAAAUGAAGAGCAACCAAAGCUUCACCUAUGUUCUAUUUCAUAUAGUUUUUUAUUUAUUUAAUUAGUAUUUCUUAUUUUGCAGAUAUAUGCCUCUGGUCCAAACUUGUAACUGUAAAUGCUGAAUAAAAGUGAAAAAAUUGGACACAAUUAUGCAUCCUCCUCUGUGGCCAACUUUUCAAAUCCUUGCCUCCUUGAGUGAAAAGCAGCUGAUGUCUACUCUAACUUUAGCAUCUUUCUUUUCAACCAAAGCAGAAAGUGCUAUCAAGUUGGGGUAAAUGUUUUCUGAUUGACUUCCCAGUGUCCAACUGGUCUGUAUUUAGUUUCAUUUGAAGGAGACUCCGUCGUUGACUACAAAGAGAAGCAUCUGUCAUUCCAUGUAAGAAUAAGUGCUUUACUUUGGGACUGCCUUGCUGGUGUUUGUUCAUCAGUGGGUUUGCCCAUUGCCUUGAUUACAACAGAAUCCAAAUUUAAACACUAGAAGGUGCUGUUUUUUCCAAAGUUUUGGCAUGGUAAUCAUUGAUUUUGUGCACGGUGUGUUUCUAUGCUUUAACAAGGACUGUCAUAAUGUUCUUCUUUCAGAAAACAUUAUAAUAGUUGAAUUUGCAUGAAAUGCUUUAAAUGUGUGAAAAGUCCACCCAUGCUCAAGAAUGCUGAGGCAUCCCAAAUAUAUUAACAGGGAACUCAAAGAUUAAUGGCCUUUCAAAACUACCCAAGUACCAACGACCACAGCAAAGCCAAAGAGCCAUAAACAUAUUUAUAAUGGGUGCUGUUAACAAAACUGCUCAGAUCAGCUCACCUUGACUGCAGGCAGCAUGCUCCUGGUAUCUCUGGCUGGAAAUGUCCUCAUCUGAUUCCACAGACUUGUAGUCUUCGAAAUGGAAAAUAUUUUGAUUUGUCACUAUCGGUACCCUCAUAAUGGCACUGACUUGUCUGUUGUAAUAGGUAAGUGCUAUUUGUUGGGGUAGUUUCAAGUGACGAGUGCUUCAGGACAUAAUUCAUUUUCUGGGACGUCAAACUGAGUUCUAAAGGCAAUGAUCAGAUAUUCACAGUAUCCAUCCCAUUAAGAUUACUUCAAAUGGGAGCAUUGAUUGGUCCUAUGUUCAUAAGUGCUUCUCUUUGGGGUAGUAGUACUGAGGAAAUGAAGAGCAACCAAAGCUUCACCUAUGUUCUAUUUCGUAUAGUUUUUUAUUUAUUUAAUUAGUAUUUCUUAUUUUGCAGAUAUAUGCCUCUGUUCCAAACUUGUAACUGUAAAUGCUGAAUAAAAGUGAAAAAAUUGGACACAAUUAUGCAUCCUCCUCUGUGGCCAACUUUUCAAAUCCUUGCCUACUCGAGUGAAAAGCAGCUGAUGUCUACUCUAACUUUAGCAUCUUUCUUUUCAACCAAAGCAGAAAGUGCUAUCAAGUUGGGGUAAAUGUUUGCUGACUGACUUCCCAGUGUCCAACUGGUCUGUAUUUAGUUUCAUUUGAAGGAGACUCCCUCGAUGACUACAAAGAGAAGCAUCUGUCAUUCCAUGUAAGAAUAAGUGCUUUACUUUGGGACUGCCUUGCUGGUGUUUGUUCAUCAGUGGGUUUGCCCAUUGCCUUGAUUACAACAGAAUCCAAAUUUAAACACUAGAAGGUGCUGUUUUUCCCAAAGUUUUGGCAUGGUAAUCAUUGAUUUUGUGCAUGGUGUGUUUCUAUGCUUUAACAAGGACUGUCAUUAUGUUCUUCUUUCAGAAAACAUUAUAAUAGUUGAAUUUGCAUGAAAUGCUUUAAAUGUGUGAAAAGUCCACCCAUGCUCAAGAAUGCUGAGGCAUUCCAAAGAUAUUAACAGGGAAAUCAAAGAUUAAUGGCCUUUCAAAACUACCCAAGUACCAACGACCACAGCAAAGCCAAAGAGCCAUAGACAUAUUUAUAAUGGGUGCUGUUAACAAAACUGCUCAGAUCAGCUCACCUCGACUGCAGGCAGCAUGCUCCUGGUAUCUCUGGCUGGAAAUGUCCUCAUCUGAUUCCACAGACUUGUAGUCUUCGAAAUGGAAAAUAUUUUGAUUUGUCACUAUCGGUA